rnacentral:tRNA from 1 species
GGGCCCAUAGCUCAGCUGGAAGAGCGCCACAAUGGCAUUGUGGAGGUCGUCGGUUCGAACCCGAUUGGGUCCACCA